UUUCAUUUCACCACAAAGAUGUCUCUGUUUUUUAUUUAAUUUCACUUCGAGUGGACAGACAGGUUCAUCAGGUUUGUGUGUCCGUGUUGUGUUCACGUUGGGUCCAUGUUGUGUCUAGGUCAUGUCCAUAGUGUGUCCAUGUUGUGUCAUCUUGAGAAACAAUUCUUUAUCGUGUACCUCGAUGAUUUUACUUUGGUAAAUGUCUCCUCUACUAACAUGGAGGAGGAGGCAUAUGUGACCUAUUCUGCUGCCAGCCACCAGGUGGCGAUCGAGAUACUUUGGCUUCACUAAUAGAAGCUGUGUUCAUACAGUAAAUGGUUUGAAGUGCAUCCUUCACCUAGCCACGUCAUCAUGUGGUUCUGUACAUGCCUUAUUGUGUGUGUGUGUGUGUGUGUGUGUGUGUGUGUGUGUGUGUGUGUGUGUGUGUGUGUGUGUGUGUUUGUGUGAGGGCCUCCUGUCUCAGCUCAGCCCAGUUCUUCAUACUGGGUGUGUGCAGACCAGAGGCAGAGCAGAGCAGUGGCUUUACCCAUUCCAUCCUCAGCUGCAGCGUGGCUCUGUGGUGGAAGAGACCCCUGCUACAUGUGGCCCAUGGGCCGCUGGUUCGAUUCCUCUAAAGCAACACUGUGCAACUUGUUCACCUUGAACCAGCAGCUUUAAAAUGAUUGUUGAGUGUCGAGUGUGACCAUGGAGAGAGAUUCUCUGUGACUCUGGUGAGAGGGUUCAAUCCCCUGUGAGAAGAACUGACUGAGACUCACCAAGUGUCACAGUCAGCUGCAGUUGUAGAGUGAAGCUGAACUGAGAUCAGUUAAAAACACAAAUAACGAAGUUAUUAAAAUACAAACAAUUCCACUCGUGUACUUGCUACAGCCGCACCUCUUCUGGUUCAGGAAGCAGAGGAUCAUGGGUAAUACCCCGCCUCACUGUUAGAGCUCCAGCCAACAAGCUCAGACAUGAAGGUCAACAGAUCUAAUCCCCAUCAUGUGGCACCAGGGGGCGCUGCUACUCAGUAAAAGUUCCACAGUGUUGCUUUGAAAUGUUUUCAAAUAAGCACAACAUGUAAUAUUGUGUCACUUUCCACAUAAAGAAACCAGCAGUUAUCAAUGUGCAUGAUUAGAUAUGAGAAACUUUAUAUAGACUAUUCAGUACACACACAUUCUGUCAGAGGCGUCUGUCAUGUUUUAAAACAGAAUCAGUCAAAACUCCAACAAGGGAAAAGGUGGUGCGAUAAAACUAUGACUGUAAUGAUACUGAUAAUAUCUGCCUCCAUCUUCUUCACCUCUUCUCUCUCUGCUCCAUCGUCACAUCUUGCAGGGUCCAGCAUUGGAGGAGACUGACCACUAGAUGGCGCCAAACAGCAGGAAGAUAGAAGAUAUCGUCCACGGUUCACUUGUUUGAUCUUUUCCACCAAAUUGUUCAAAUAUAAAUAUCUUCACUAUCACAUGAUCAGGAUAUUUUCACAUUGCUGACAUUUAAAGUGUAAAAAUGAAAAUGUGCAGGUGAAUAAAGAGAUUUCACAUUUGUAAAGUAAACUUCUUGAUUACCUCAGCUUGAAACCAAAUAAAGAAAUAUUUUAAAUAUUAUCUUUCUUUAAGUGUUUUGUUGAAAAUAGGUUGAAUUUGUUGCUUGUACACUAAUAAAUUAUCAUUGAGUCACUUUGA